GGCUUCGUAGCUCAGCUGGUAGAGCGUUUGCCGUGUUGAGGCAUGCUGUGUCUGUUGCUGGUUUGAAUCCAGUCGAAGUUU
rnacentral:tRNA from 1 species